rnacentral:ncRNA from 1 species
AAUAGGUUUGAUUCUAGCCUAUAAACUAAUUCCUUCGCAGAAUAACACAUGUGACCCCUUCUGAACCCGUGAGCCCCCCUCGUAAUUCGCAAGCUAAAAGCCCAAAAACCAGGAAGGGGGUUAGUUUCUCUCCACGCCUACAGUGGUUAAUAUUAUGGUCCCUACCCAUUAGGACCUAGCUAGCGAAUUCAGUUUUGGCAAAAAUUGUGCCAGCCGCCGCGGUUAGACAAUAAAAGCAAAUUAGUUUAAGCCGGUAUAUUGGUAAUUUAUUUUUACGCUAGAAACCAAAGCCCGUAGAGGUCCAAUUCUAACCUCGGAAAUCACGCCAAAACUAGCAAGACAAGACCCAAGAAAUAUUAGACUAAGACGGGGAUUAGAUACCCCCUUAUUCUAAUACGUAAAUUCUUCACCUGGGCACUAAUAACCCAUGUUAAAAACCCAAAGAACUUGGCGGCGUUCUAACCCAACCAGGGGAGCCUGUCCUGUAACCCGAUACUCCACGAGACCACCUACCUAAAAUUGACUCCCAGCUUGUAUACUGCCGUUGUCAGCCUACAUUUUAAAAGAAGUAAGCAAUAAGGACCCCAACCCCCACAUCAGGUCAAAGUGCAGCCUAUAUUUAGGAAGAGAUGGGCUACAACCUAUAUUCUGGAGCCCAAAAUAAGUAGCGAACCUACUUACUAAGACGGACUUGGAAGUAAGGACUUUUAUCUAAACUCCUGAAUGAAGGCAAUCUAGAACGUGCACACAUCGCCCGUCACUCUCGCAAAAAGUGAGAUAAGUCGUAACAUAGUGGGCGUAACGGAAGUUGUGCCC